UACGAAGGGUGCAAGCGUUACUCGGAAUUACUGGGCGUAAAGCGUGCGUAGGUGGUGCGUUAAGUCUGUCGUGAAAGCCCCGGGCUCAACCUGGGAAUGGCGAUGGAUACUGGCGCGCUAGAGUGCGGUAGAGGAGAGUGGAAUUCCCGGUGUAGCAGUGAAAUGCGUAGAGAUCGGGAGGAACAUCAGUUGCGAGGGCGGCUCUCUGGACCAGCACUGACACUGAGGCACGAAAGCGUGGGGAGCAAACAGG
rnacentral:rRNA from 1 species